rnacentral:rRNA from 1 species
CGUAGGGCGCAAGCGUUAUCCGGAAUUAUUGGGCGUAAAGAGCUCGUAGGCGGUUUGUCGCGUCUGCUGUGAAAUCCCGAGGCUCAACCUCGGGCCUGCAGUGGGUACGGGCAGACUAGAGUGCGGUAGGGGAGAUUGGAAUUCCUGGUGUAGCGGUGGAAUGCGCAGAUAUCAGGAGGAACACCGAUGGCGAAGGCAGAUCUCUGGGCCGUAACUGACGCUGAGGAGCGAAAGGGUGGGAGCAAACAGGCUU